UACAGAGGUCUCAAGCGUUGUUCGGAUUCAUUGGGCGUAAAGGGUGCGUAGGCGGCGCGGUAAGUCGGGUGUGAAAUCUUGGAGCUUAACUCCGAAACUGCAUUCGAUACUGCCGUGCUUGAGGACUGGAGAGGAGACUGGAAUUUACGGUGUAGCGGUGAAAUGCGUAGAUAUCGUAAGGAAGACCAGUGGCGAAGGCGGGUCUCUGGACAGUUCCUGACGCUGAGGCACGAA
rnacentral:rRNA from 1 species